CGAAGAAAAAUUAUUGAUGAUCAGUACCCAGGAGCAUUGAGAAUGGCGCUGGAACAAAACCAUGGAAGCGAACUCCUUUUGCUCAUAUCACA